rnacentral:rRNA from 1 species
GUAGUCUCGCACAGAUGCAUAUCAAUAAGCGGAGGAAAAGAAACUAACAAGGAUUCCCCUAGUAACGGCGAGUGAAGCGGGAAGAGCUCAAAUUUGAAAUCUUAAAGGGUUUCCCUUUACGAAUUGUAGUUUAAAGAAGUGUUUUCUGUUGAGGUUUUGGUAAAAGUUCUUUGGAAUAGGACAUCAUAGAGGGUGAGAAUCCCGUAUUUGACCUUUACUUUCAACUUUGUGAUACACUUUCAAAGAGUCGGAUUGUUUGGGAAUGCAGUCCAAAAUGGGUGGUAAAUUUCAUCUAAAGCUAAAUAUUGGCGAGAGACCGAUAGCGAACAAGUACCGUGAGGGAAAGAUGAAAAGAACUUUGAAAAGAGAGUUAAACAGUACGUGAAAUUGUCAAAAGGGAAGCGUUUGACACCAGUGUUGUUUUUCUGAAAAUCAAUUAAAGAACUGUUUAUGCUAAGCUGUUUAGACUUUAUCAGCUAACUGUUUAGUUUUGAGCUUUUCUUUAAUGCACUUUUCAGUUAACAAGUCAACAUCAAUUUCCUUUUGCUGUAAAAAAGCUUGAGGAAGGUGGCUUGAGAUUCGUCUUAAGUGUUUAUAGCCUCUUGCCUAUGCAGUCGGAGAGAUUGAGGUCUGCAGCGUAGAUCCUUCGGGGCUAAAUGCUUUUGUGCUAAGUUAUAGCAUUUUAUAGACAACUUGUUGACUAUGAUUUGUCUUGUAGCUUACUCGCUUAUGUUAUUUUACCUACGCUUAGGAUGUUGAAGACUCUACAGAGAUA